UACGUAGGGGGCAAGCGUUAUCCGGAUUUACUGGGUGUAAAGGGAGCGCAGGCGGCAUGGCAAGUCAGAUGUGAAAACCCGGGGCCCAACCCCGGGCCUGCAUUUGAAACUGUCAGGCUGGAGUAUGGGAGAGGCAGGCGGAAUUCCUAGUGUAGCGGUGAAAUGCGUAGAUAUUAGGAGGAACACCGGUGGCGAAGGCGGCCUGCUGGACCAUUACUGACGCUGAGGCUCGAAAGCGUGGGGAG
rnacentral:rRNA from 1 species